rnacentral:rRNA from 1 species
GACGAACGCUGGCGGCGUGCUUAACACAUGCAAGUCGAACGCUGAAGCGCAGCGUUUGUUGGGUGGAUGAGUGGCGAACGGGGGAGUAACACGUGAGGAACAUGCACCCUUCAUUGGGAUAACGCCCGGAAACGGGUGAUAAAACAGGAUAUUCAAUGGUCUACGCCUGGGGGUAGGUGGAAAGGGCGGUUCUGGUGGGGGAUGGGCACGCGGCCGAUCGGCUUGUUGGUGGGGUGAUGGCAAACCAAGGCUUUGGCGGGUUGCCGGCCUGAGAGGGCGACCGGGCACAUUGGGACGGAGCACCGUCCCAGGCUCCUACGCGGUGCGGCAUUGGGGAAUAUUGCCCAAUGGGCGCAAGCCUGAAGCCGCGUCGCCGCGUAAGGGUUUGGGGCCUUCGGGUUGUGUACCUCUGUCGCUCAUGGUCUAUCCGCAACUAUGGUUGUGGUGAGGGUAGUGGGUAAAGAAGCGCCGGCUAACUACGUG